rnacentral:lncRNA from 10 species
UACGGAAAUUGGUGUGUUUGUGUGUGUGUGCAUGUGUGUAUGUGUGUUUAUGUGUGGGUGUGGGUGGGUGGGCUGAGCAUUGUCUCCCUUUCUCUUGCUUUGCUCCUAACUUCCACACCCCACCCUCACACUCUAUUUUCAUUCCUUCUGAUUUCUCUUUUUGGAGCACAUCUGAAGGAUACUUUAGAGAGCCUCAAAGCUAACGUGAGACAGCAUCUUGGUUCUGCAAGGACGUGUCCUUCAACCCAACGCCCCCCACCCCCACCCAACCCCAAGCAAAUAUCCUGUUGAAGUCUCCGUGAACAAACAUCUAUCAACAGAAAAGCGAUAUGGAAUACAGGGCAUUGGCAGGCAGAGAUGUACCCUGUGGCUUGGGCUUUCUCUGCAAGGCCAGUGGGGAUGAAACCAAUAACAAAGACCCUGACUUUGCUUAAUGACCAAGACUCACUUAGAUAACAAACCGGCGCUGCUGUUGGCAGAGAGCCUUCUAGAUGCUCAGUACAGUGUGGCCUGUUAAAGUGGGAAGGAGGACUUGAAGGAAAGAGCUGUUUAAGUCAUAUUUUCUUACAGCCAAAGGAGAUUAUCUUCUCUUGGUUUGGACGGAUCAUUAUUUGUUACUGUUUAUUAUUAAUCGUGAUUUCCUGAGAACUUUUAUGUUCCGGAUACCGAAUCACAUACUUUAUAUUCACUCACUACAAUCCUGCAAAACUUUGUUGUUGAUUUUCUUUUUUUAAUAAAAGAGAAAACUCGGCCGGGCGCGGUGACUCACGCCUGUAAUCCCAGCACUUUGGGAGGCUGAGGCGGGUGGAUCACCAGGUCAAGAGUUCAAGACCAGCCUGGCCAAGAUGCUGAAACCCCGUCUCUACUAAAAAUACAAAAAA